GGUCAAUUACAAAGCACAACAUAAGUCUGGAACACUGGAAUUAAGUAGCAGAGAUCAAAAUCAAAAGUGAGAAAACAGAGGGAAAAUGAGGCAAUUAACAAAGAUACAAAUAAUUCCAGAAGAUUUCAGCAUAGCAGAUAAAAUACAGCAAAUCCUAACCAGCACAGGUUUUAGUGAUAAAUGGGCCCAUUCCAUAGACACAGAUGAUUUCAUCAGGUAAUUACAUUUUUGUGUUCGUAAGCGUUUACAUGUCUUUACUGUGACACCUUCAGAUUAGAGAUUUUAAAGGCUUUUAAGCGGUAUAAGGUGCUACCUGGGAUAGUUAUUGCAUAGCACUUUCAUGGCAUGGAAUAGUGUUUGGUGUAGAAGAUGAA
rnacentral:lncRNA from 1 species